CCAGCCCUAAUUUCUUAAUCCAAACCUAAUCACACACAAAUACACAAUCACGCUGCCUACAAUAGAUUUGGUCAUCUGCUGUGCUGCUUGCCGACAACAAAUUGCUGCUCUUCGUCUUCGUCUUCGUCUUCGUCCUCAUCCCCGAUCUCUAGCUUGCUGGCUAUUCCCAUUUCCUUUUGUUUCGCAACUUAAUGGUUGUUGCCGGUAGCCUGCUACCUUCUUCAACUCCGAGCUAUAGCUAAUGCCUUCUUAAUUUAGAUUUUCUUCAAGUUCGAGUUGCUGCUACUGUAUUCUUUUGUGAGAGGUAAGCUGAUGGGUUCUUUCAUUUGUACACUAGGGUUUGGGGUUCUCUGAUCAGAAUAUAUCGGCUGGUCUGGUGAUUGCUCAACCGCCGUCGAUUUUUGAGGUGCCGCCCAGGUUGAGCCCCGCAAUUCUACUUGACUCGCUAAAUUUCAGUUUGUUUUCGCCUACACAGGUAAUUCAAUUUAACUUUGUCUGACCUAAAGUUUCUUCAUUUAUUCAUUAGAUUUUAGCUUGUUUAGGAAAGCUUUCAUUUUUAUUGGGUUUCGCAUUUAAAUUCUAAUAAUCCUUGGGUUUGAAUUUUGAUUUUUUUUUUUUUGGAGGGAUGGAAAAUUUUCUUCAUUGCCUUGAUUUGUUAGCAGUCGGUUGGAAUUUUGAAUUAGAGCUUGCUGAAGCAUUUAUUAUAGAAUUUAUAAAUGUGCCCUGUAAUUGGGAUAAAAACUCUUGACUUAAUUAAUCUGACAGAAGAACAUUUUGAGCAAUGUUGUAAUGUGAUUGUGCAUUGCUGAGAUAAUCUCAUCUUGUUUUGGUAUUCUAACCAAUAAAAAAAAAUUUAAGUGUUGGACUCCCCUUCGGCUUCACAUGGCAAGCCCUAAUUUCUUAAUCCAAACCUAAUCACACACAAAUACACAAUCACGCUGCCUACAAUAGAUUUGGUCAUCUGCUGUGCUGCUUGCCGACAACAAAUUGCUGCUCUUCGUCUUCGUCUUCGUCUUCGUCCUCAUCCCCGAUCUCUAGCUUGCUGGCUAUUCCCAUUUCCUUUUGUUUCGCAACUUAAUGGUUGUUGCCGGUAGCCUGCUACCUUCUUCAACUCCGAGCUAUAGCUAAUGCCUUCUUAAUUUAGAUUUUCUUCAAGUUCGAGUUGCUGCUACUGUAUUCUUUUGUGAGAGGUAAGCUGAUGGGUUCUUUCAUUUGUACACUAGGGUUUGGGGUUCUCUGAUCAGAAUAUAUCGGCUGGUCUGGUGAUUGCUCAACCGCCGUCGAUUUUUGAGGUGCCGCCCAGGUUGAGCCCCGCAAUUCUGCUUGACUCGCUAAAUUUCAGUUUGUUUUCGCCUACACAGGUAAUUCAAUUUAACUUUGUCUGACCUAAAGUUUCUUCAUUUAUUCAUUAGAUUUUAGCUUGUUUAGGAAAGCUUUCAUUUUUAUUGGGUUUCGCAUUUAAAUGCUAAUAAUCCUUGGGUUUGAAUUUUGAUUUUUUUUUUUUUGGAGGGAUGGAAAAUUUUCUUCAUUGCCUUGAUUUGUUAGCAGUCGGUUGGAAUUUUGAAUUAGAGCUUGCUGAAGCAUUUAUUAUAGAAUUUAUAAAUGUGCCCUGUAAUUGGGAUAAAAACUCUUGACUUAAUUAAUCUGACAGAAGAACAUUUUGAGCAAUGUUGUAAUGUGAUUGUGCAUUGCUGAGAUAAUCUCAUCUUGUUUUGGUAUUCUAAGUAUCCAAAUGGACUGGAUAGUAGGCUAUCCAGGUCAAGUUUUAAUGGUAAUUGGGCAUUUUUCUUUCCUGAUUUUAGUUUCAUCUCUUUUUAGAUGAAGCAUAUGGUUAAUGCAAACAAUUAACGAAAGAAAAGCUCUUGGUAUUACUAGUGUUGGAGAUCCAAUUGUCUUCAUGUAAACUGUGAACACUUUUAACUCCCAUAUCUAAGAUAUAGAGAUCUUUAUGUAGCUUUAAGCCAAAUAUGUGAGAAAUUCUCCAAUCUAGUCACAACUUUAUUAGCAACCAAGAAUGAAAGAGUAUUAGCUUCCAGUUAUAAUUUGAUGACCGGAGCUUGAAUGAGUGAGUGAUAACUUGUAUUGUCUAUAUUGCUUUGUAUGUCAUGCCUCACUGGCAUUAUGUUACUUGGGUAUCCAAAUUUUGCGUUUAUCUAUUACUAAUUUCCCUGAUUCAUUGGAUGCAACCUAGGGAGCCUUUAGAAUGAAGCACUAGCAGGCCCUAGCACAGGUCACUGCCCAAGCUGACAAUUGUAGAGAGGGAAAACAGAGACAAAAGGUUGUAAAACACGUUAAAGAGACAAAAGGAUAUAUAUGUAACAAAAAUAUCUAUUAAAAUUAGGUUCAGGGAGUAUUUGGAUGGAUUUUCUUUCUUUUGAUGUAACUGUGACCAAAAAGGGGUUUUAUUUGCAUUGUAAGUGGAGGUGUUAAUAGCAGCACUAUUUUUAUAUUUGACAACAGAAUACACAUUAACACUAUAUAUAGUGGAACCUCGAUAAAUUAAUAACAUUGAUUAAAUAAUAGUUUUCGCCAACUCAGACGUGGGCCCAACUUAGUAAAUUAAUAAUUCAAUAAAUUUAUUAAACAAUAAUUGUUGUAGAAAAGUAAGAAAUCUUAUUUUUCUAUAGGACUCAACUAAACAUAAAUUAAUAAUUAACCAAUUUAGAAUUAAACACAUAUGAUAUGUUUAAGAUUUUCUUUGUUGUACUAGCAUAAUGAUUUAUGCAUUCCAUUGGUUAUUGUUAUUUCUCUACAACUUUUAGAAGAGAAGCCAGUGUUGUAUUCUAUGUGAUAGGUUAAGAGAAACAAGAGAAAAAUUGACUUAAUAUAUUGUCUCAAAAAAGUCUUCUUUGAUGUGUUAUCAUCUAAUUGUGAUGCAACCAUGCAAUCUAGCAAAAGAAUUAUCAAGUCAUUGAUUUACUCAAUUAAAAUCAAACUAGAAUCAUAUUAUACAGCUUGAUAGAAUCUCUAUAUUCUUUAAUUACACUACAACAAAAACAGUGUAUGAUAGCAUCUGAAAAAUGCUACCAAAUUAAAGUGAAUGGUAGCAUUUUGAACAAUGCUAAGUUAGCCGGUGUAACUAAAAGUAUUACACAUUAGUAGCAUUUUUUACAUGCCACAAAUUAUGAUACAUAGCAUUCUGCUGUACCGUACAUCCGCCUUGGCCGUACAGCAGCAUUAAUUGCACUUGGUUUUAUAUUUCUCUUUACUAUGUACUAUGUUGCAAAAUAUUUUGUUUAUACUUAAUCUUUUAUAAUCCAGCAACUCUUAUGAAGACCUAGUCAACUGUCACUGCUACAUAAGCAUUCAGGUUAUACUGCUUUAUCAUCAUUUUUAUUUUCUUCCCUUUUUCUCUUUUACAGCUUGUGAGCUUACUGCUUCAUUAUGUCAAUUGUCGAAUGUGAUUUUCUAUUUUCUCUUGGGUUGUUUAUUCUCAUUUUCCCUUUAGUAUCAAAGCUGAUUAAAUCAAUUAGACACUGAUGAAUUUUAUUAUGAAUUUGAUUAAUUGUAAGUGGGCAAUAUAUUAAUAUGUAUUUUUUGGGCACUCAUUUUAUUGUAACCUAUGUUUCAGGUGAUGUUGGUGGCUUUCGGGAAUUUACUAAGAGUGUUUUUUUUAUGGAUUAAUUGUUUUUCUAGUGAUGUGUUGGUGAUUGGAUAUUGAUAAAGGAUUUAUGAGAUAUUGUAAAGGAUUUGAUUCACCAUAUAUUUUGUGAUGCUAUUUGUUGGAAGUUUCAAGUGAUUGAAAUUUUUAGCGCAUCACACUAUUUGGUAUUUGAUAGUUUUUAUGAAUUUGAAUGUAAUUUUUAUUUCAAUUAAUUCAAGUUUUAAAUGUGGUUUUUGUUGUUUUUA
rnacentral:lncRNA from 1 species